rnacentral:rRNA from 1 species
GACGAACGCUGGCGGCGUGCCUAACACAUGCAAGUCGAACGGCAAGGCCGUAAGAUUGUGGGGUUCCCGGGUGGCGAACGGGUGAGGGACAAGUAAAUAACCGGACCUUGACUUUGGGGUGGGUUCAGGAAACUGGAGCUAAUACCAGAUAGGAGCUCACGCUGCGUGGUGGGGGUUGGAAAGUUUCGGCGGUUGGGGAUGGAUGGGCGGCUUAUCAGCUAGUUGGUGGGGUAAGGGCCCACCCAGGCGAUGACGGGUAGCUCGCCUGAGAGGGUGAUCGGCCACACUGGAACGGAGACACGGUCCAGACUCCUACGGGAGGCAGCAGUGGGGAAUAUUGGACAAUGGGCGCAAGCCUGAUCCAGCCAUACCGCGUGGGUGAAGAAGGCCUUCGGGUUGUAAAGCCCUUUUGUUGCGAAAAAAAAGCAGCAGGUUAAUACCCCGCUGUUCUGACGGUACCCAAAGAAUAAGCACCGGCUAACUUCGUG